rnacentral:rRNA from 1 species
AGCGAACGCUGGCGGCAGGCUUAACACAUGCAAGUCGAGCGGGCGUAGCAAUACGUCAGCGGCAGACGGGUGAGUAACGCGUGGGAACAUACCUCUUGGUUCGGAACAACACAGGGAAACUUGUGCUAAUACCGGAUAAGCCCUUACGGGGAAAGAUUUAUCGCCGAGAGAUUGGCCCGCGUCUGAUUAGCUAGUUGGUGAGGUAACGGCUCACCAAGGCGACGAUCAGAGCUGGUCUGAGAGGAUGAUCAGCCACAUUGGGACUGAGACACGGCCCAAACUCCUACGGGAGGCAGCAGUGGGGAAUAUUGGACAAUGGGCGCAAGCCUGAUCCAGCCAUGCCGCGUGAGUGAUGAAGGCCCUAGGGUUGUAAAGCUCUUUGUGCGGGAAGAUAAUGACGGUACCGCAAGAAUAAGCCCCGGCUAACUUCGUGCCAGCCGCCGCUGUAAU